rnacentral:lncRNA from 1 species
UCCGUCUCAAAAAAAAAAAAAAAAAGGAUAGAAUUAGUCUUCAAAAUAAGAACAAUAAAAUUCAAUAGGGAGCAGUACAAGGUUAUAUAAUUUGGAAGGAAUGCAUAUAAAUAUAUAGCAGAUUACUCGUUAAACUUUCAUUAGCCAAAAAUUGCUUAAAACGUUCUUUUCAUAUGUUUGCAGGGCUACUGCCUUCCUAGAGGUUUCAAAUGAAGUGCUACCUAUUACAAAAGGCUUCUCCACCCCCAUAACAUUUUUUUUCUCCACAGCUUUUACCUCAAUCUGAUACCUUGUUUACUGGUUCACUGUCUAUUUUUUCCACUAGAAUGUAAGCUAUAUGAGGUCGGUUACCCCAAUACCUAGAACAUUGUUUUAAAUAAUUGAUUUCACGAUGUAGCAUUGUUGCUUACAAAUAAAACUGAGAAUGUUUGAAGGAAUUAUGAAAUAAUUUAAAUCCUGGAUAUUUGUGAAGCUCAUAGUAAAGUGCCAAACUGUUGAAGUAUGUUUUGAAAGUGGUGAGAUACCCUAGUAGGAAGAGGUCUAAAAGAUUAGUAAGAUGUUUUGGGAAAGGUUAAAAUAAUUGUAGUUAUCGUGUUAAUGAGAGAAGACUAGUUACUUAAUGAUUUCCAACUUCGUAAAAGUAUUUACAGGAAAGUCGUGAUUCAUCAUUUUCAUUGAUAAAAAGAAUUAGUCCUAGGCCGUAGGUGCUACGAUUUAAGAUAAGAGCAAGCUAGACUAGAGAUCUAAAUAGAGAUCUUUGAAAAUGGGAUAAGAGUGUAUACGCAGACUAGAUGCCCUCACUAGAUACUUUCCAGCCUGUGAUUCCAAACGCAGAUUGUGGGAGAAAGAUUAGAUAGCAGGUGCUUCUGUUGUUGAUAAUUCCUUGCUACCCAUGGCCAUUGCCAUUUUAAAACCAAUUCAGUGUGUUUUUUGAGCGUAGUCAAUAUAGGUGAUUAUAUAUUGCUGUUUUGGGUAGUUUAUAUUUGUUGACAUAAUACUGAAAAUUGGAUGUGUGCUUUUUUAACUCCAAGACUUCAUAUUUACAAUGCUUAAUCUCCAGAAUGCCACCAUACAUGUACAUGCUGCAAACUAAUUCCCUGUAGUUAGCAGCCAUCCUUUUGGAGGAGUAAAAUGUCCAGUAAAUCUGAAGCCUUGGGUUGUAGUCCUGCUAAAAUCGUAAGAGACCCUAAACUUUCUGGCUGAAACUAGAGGAUCAAAUAUUAGGCCUGUCCCUAUAUGAUUUUUAGCUAUGUCAAGUAACUUUUUAUUUCUGUACUGGGUUCUCCUAGCCAUUAAAUUAGAAUUGCUAUCCCAUUGGGAAGACUAAUUCACGUUUAAGAAGCCUUCAGUGUAAAAGCUUUGUAUUGCAAAAGCAGCCCCUAGCACGAUUGCCUUCACCAAGUAGCAUUUUAAUUUAGACCUUCUACCUUCACCUAAGCUAACUGCUUAAAGUAACCAUGCAAAAAUUUUUAACUGCAUUUGCAAUAUGAUGUUGUCAAGGGUAUUGUCCUCUGUGUCAUAUUGUGCCCUUUUACUUUUUUAUUUU